ensembl:lncRNA PKN2-AS1 PKN2 antisense RNA 1
GGCAAACCCAGAAUGCUAUUUGUACAAACAAGUAUGGCUCCUCUCCUGCGGAAGUUUCCAGUGCAGAUGCCAAUGUCUUUGCCAUCCAUUUGCCCUUAAGGAAAAGGGCUUGCUGAACUCAGGCAAAGUAGGGAAUUGAGCCUGUUGACUGCCUUGGAUGCUUAGUGUCCCAUAUUCCCUGUGGCUAGCCUGGGCAGAGUCUGUGAGGGAUUAGAGCAUGAAGGCUAUAGUGCAUAAUGAGUUUAAGGAAAAAUUAGCCUGAAAAAAAUCACUUAGCUCCAAAUGUCUAGUGAUAUUUAUAGACGUUGUGGGUUAAAUUUCACUUCACUGACUUUGUCCUUUACAUUGACAAGCUAGAUAAGAUGAUAUCGUUUUAAAUAAUCAUUUGCGUUUAGGUAUUUCUCUGGCAGUUUUGUAUUACAGUUUAAAAAUAGACUAGCCUAUGUCUAUGGCUCAUGUUGGCUAUGGUAUUUUGAACUUGAUUUCUGAGGCUGCUGACAGCUUUUGAAAGAUUUAACAACUGGCAGCAAGAAAAACUUCCAUAGAAUCUCUUCUCUGAAAUUUUUUCUGCUGGAAAAAAGGGCAUCACUUAGCAGGCGUAAAUGUCUCAGUCACUGACUAUAAGUACAAAGGGCCCAGAAGCUGGAAUCUGAAGACAAACAUGGCUCCACUACAUUUUACUCUCAUUGCCUUGGGAAACAUUACUUAAACCAGAAGAAUCUAUUGCCCUCUUUACUUCACAGUGCUACAGAGAGGAUUACAUGAGCCAAUAUUUGUGAGUGCCCUUUGUAAAGUGAAUGUCUAGUAUUCAAGAGAAAUGACAAAAAGACUGAGAAUCUCUGAGGUCCUUGGGUUUCCAGAGGUAUUCCUGCAAGGAACAGUCAAGCAGCAUCAAACCUUCAGACCUUCUGAAACAGCCUGGUUCCUCCCAGCACUGGGUCUGGUUCUGCCGCCCUCCUUUCCAACAUGUCACGUCAGUCAUCCUCCCAACAAAUUCAGUAGUUGGUUAAGCAAGCCAUAUACAGUGUUAGUUGACUGAAAUCAAAGCUCUAUAGCUAAUACCAGAGGAAAGCAAAGUUCUGAUUUUCAUAAGGUUUUGAAUGCUGUGCUAUGGAUUUUGGACUUUAUUUUGAAGGCAAUAAAGAUUGUAAUAAAGAUAGUAGCAUGAGUGAACUGGUUAAGAGAUUUGCCAAAAUGUCUAGCCAUUCAACUUCGUAAGUAUAUGAAAUUCUCCAUAGAAGUAUAAUGUUAAAUAAGUGGCCUUCAGUAAGGCAAAAACAAACAAACAAAAAAAUAGAUAGCUGCUCUUUCUAUUUCUGUUACUAUUAAAGAAAAUGUAGCUUUCCAAAUGACUUAAUUUUACUCAUGAAUGAAUGAAUAUUGAGUUAAUAACACUCUCCAUACUUUCCCUUUUUUAUAUAUAUAUAACUUGAGAUAAUAAUUGCUACUUAAAGUAGGAUGUUUAUAAAUACAUGGCAGUACUGUGUAUGCUUUCUUCUUUGUGGUUUUUAUAUGCUUUUAUACGUUCUGUGUAUGAAUGUUGAGGAGAACUUCUUUUAGAAUUAGUUAGAAUAAACUUGUUCAUUCUGAAAGC